AGAGCAAAUAUGAAUUAAUUUUUUAAAAAGCUGAUAUAAACAACUGCAUCUGAAAAUGAUCACUUAAUCUCAGAGUAAACAUACAUAAUUAAUAUCCAAGUCAUUUUAGUGUGUAAUAUAUUUUUUAAACUCCUAAGCAUUUUAGAAUAUGAAUGGUAUUUUCAUUUGAUUUUUUCAGUUUAUAAAUCAAGUGUAAGAAAAAAAAUAAUGAAAAGUGUUUUUAUCUCACCAUGAACUAGGCCAUGAGAUUCUCCAGGUAACUACAAAUUAUUUAAGGGGUCAUCUGUUACUAACAAACACCAUAGAAAUGUAUUAUACAUUGUAUAAUCUAUUAGACAAAUGAUAACAUGUAUAAAUCUGAAUUCUAAAGCUACUUUUUAACCUUUCAUUGUAAAUAAACAAU
rnacentral:lncRNA from 1 species